CGAAAAGGAUGAAUUUAAAGGUAACGUGGAGAUAAAGCGAGUAGAAAAGUUACCAGUUAAAAAACUCUGUAUCAACGAUCCAAUAACUGAAAAAAAAUUCCACAAAUAUAACUUAGCUUUCUAUUUCCUUUGCAAAUACAUACCGAGCGAAAGUACCAAGGUAUAUGACUCGGAUUUACAAGAUAACUAUGGACUUCGGAUCAAAGAUCAAUUAUCUGCUCAUUUCGAUGAACCCAAAAAGACGAUGUCACUAUAUUUAUCGCACAAAGCAUAUACUCGUAUUCAUUACAGUUAGAAAACAUCGAUGCCACCUAACAAUGUCGUCUCAUAGUGGUAGAAUUUUUCUUUUAUUGCUCGUAAUACUUACAAUGUAUGUACCUAUUGUAUUGUUCAGCAUUCAAAAAGAUAAGUUGAUAUUCGUGUCCAGCUCUCUUGUAAACCCAAUAAAACAUAUGUGACCUGGU